UUUAGAGUUUGAUCCAUGGCUCAGGACUAACGCUGGCGGCGUGCCUAACACAUGCAAGUCUGACGAGAAAGCGGUAGCAAUAUCGCGAGUAAAGUGGCGAACGGGUGAGUAACACGUAACCAACCUGCCCUCAAGUGGGAGAAAACCCAGGGAAACUUGGGCUAAUCUUCCAUAACGUGAUCUCGACGCAUGUCGGGAUCAUUAAAGAUUCAUCGCUUGGGGAGGGGGUUGCGUCUGAUUAGCUAGUUGGCGGGGUAACAGCCCACCAAGGCUUCGAUCAGUAGCUGGUCUGAGAGGAUGAUCAGCCACACUGGGACUGAGAUACGGCCCAGACUCCUACGGGAGGCAGCAGUGAGGAAUAUUGCGCAAUGGGCGAAAGCCUGACGCAGCAACGCCGCGUGUAGGAUGAAAUCCUUCGGGAUGUAAA
rnacentral:rRNA from 1 species